rnacentral:lncRNA from 1 species
AAGUGCUCAAUAGAUACCACUGAUUGAUUGAUCGAUUGAUUGAUCUGUCUUGCUGAAAUUAGGUCCAUCAUGGAUCUGAAGUGGACAAGUGCGAUUCUCCAGCCAACUGUAGGAUGCCCUUGACAGCACAGUCUAUCCUGCACAUUACCUGCCCACAGUGAGCUUAC